ACCUGCGCGAGGAGACGCCGCAAACGCAGCGCUAGGCUCAAGGCUAAUCAAGUCAUACCGGCAAUAAUACCCAUUAUUUUAUCCAGCGUUUACUCCAUGGGCAACCAACUAACUGCAUUUCUUUACAACGGAACACACAUGAAGAAAUGAGGAAUUGUGGCUCAACAACAACACACCUGAGUCUGCUAUCCUGGGAGAAACCGGAGGACCUGUCAGAAGAUUACUAAAGCAGGAGAAGCACUGUAAAGACAUUCUGGAAAUAUUAAUAUAAAGUAAGUUAGUCCAAUACAAGCCAGUAUUUACAGUCUAUUAUUCAGUGCAUUACAAUGCUUGGAAAUGGAAUUCAGAGCUUUUUAAAGCAGUUCAGAAAGUGAUUCAGAUAAAAUUCAACAACCAGUUGCUUCAGAAUGAUACCAUCUGAGACACAUUCAAAUAGAUCUGUAAGGUUGGAUCAAAACAUCACGACUCAGAUGUGAGGUUGAGAAACAAACAGGAAGUAAGAAACAAGCUUUGAUGUCAUAAGACUUACAAAACGUGCUGUGAAGAUAACCGGAAACAACAGCAAUCGACACUAUCUAAAUUAACACGAUUCUAACAGAACAUUGUGUUUCUGGGGAUAUUAAGGACGACUUGCAGUGGCUGAACUGGGUGAACAAUAAAGCAGGAUUGAGGAUGCGAAACACACAAAGGAAGUACUGCAGAAGAGACGCUGCAAGGACUAUUUUCUGUGCAACCCAAAUAACAGACUUGACUUUUUGUCCUCUUCAGGUAAUUCAGUUGCUCAGCAGCAUGUAACCCAGCAGGCAAAGCAAAAGACUGUCUGAUCUUCUCACGAGACUUUCACUUCCGUUCUCUGCGAAGCAAAAACACAGUCGACAGAGUUAUAUUAUAAACA